CAAGGGCGAGGGGGUGGGCAUGUACUUCGAGGAAUA
rnacentral:rRNA from 1 species